rnacentral:rRNA from 1 species
ACACUCCUGCGGGAGGCAGCAGUGGGGAAUUUUGGACAAUGGGCGAAAGCCUGAUCCAGCAAUGCCGCGUGUGUGAAGAAGGCCUUCGGGUUGUAAAGCACUUUUGUCCGGAAAGAAAUCCUUGGCUCUAAUACAGUCGGGGGAUGACGGUACCGGAAGAAUAAGCACCGGCUAACUACGUGCCAGCAGCCGCGGUAAUACGUAGGGUGCGAGCGUUAAUCGGAAUUACUGGGCGUAAAGCGUGCGCAGGCGGUUUGCUAAGACCGAUGUGAAAUCCCCGGGCUCAACCUGGGAACUGCAGUGGUGACUGGCAGGCUAGAGUAUGGCAGAGGGGGGUAGAAUUCCACGUGUAGCAGUGAAAUGCGUAGAGAUGUGGAGGAAUACCGAUGGCGAAGGCAGCCCCCUGGGCCAAUACUGACGCUCAUGCACGAAAGCGUGGGGAGCAAACAGGAUUAGAAACCCCUGUAGUCCCAU